CGUAGGUAACCUGCCUGGUAGCGGGGGAUAACUAUUGGAAACGAUAGCUAAUACCGCAUAAGAGUAGAUGUUGCAUGACAUUUGCUUAAAAGGUGCAAUUGCAUCACUACCAGAUGGACCUGCGUUGUAUUAGCCAGUUGGUGGGGUAACGGCUCACCAAGGCGACGAUACAUAGCCGACCUGAGAGGGUGAUCGGCCACACUGGGACUGAGACACGGCCCAG
rnacentral:rRNA from 1 species